GACGAACGCUGGCGGCGUGCUUAACACAUGCAAGUCGAACGGAAAGACCCUGCUUUUGUGGGAUGCUCGAGUGGCGAACGGGUGAGUAACACGUGAGUAACCUGCCCUUGACUUUGGGAUAACUUCAGGAAACUGGGGCUAAUACCGGAUAGGAGCUCCUGCUGCAUGGUGGGGGUUGGAAAGUUUCGGCGGUUGGGGAUGGACUCGCGGCUUAUCAGCUUGUUGGUGGGGUAGUGGCCUACCAAGGCUUUGACGGGUAGCCGGCCUGAGAGGGUGACCGGCCACAUUGGGACUGAGAUACGGCCCAGACUCCUACGGGAGGCAGCAGUGGGGAAUAUUGCACAAUGGGCGGAAGCCUGAUGCAGCAACGCCGCGUGCGGGAUGACGGCCUUCGGGUUGUAAACCGCUUUCGCCUGUGACGAAGCGUGAGUGACGGUAAUGGGUAAAGAAGCACCGGCUAACUACGUG
rnacentral:rRNA from 1 species